rnacentral:misc_RNA from 1 species
UCUCCGUAGGUGAACCUGCGGAAGGAUCAUUCACAAUAAGUGUUUCUAUGGCCCUUUAAAAUACAUUUCUACCUUGUGUGUAACGUUCUGAGCUCUCUUUACCAUCUCGCCGGCUGCAGCAUGUUUGUUCUACAGACGCGGCAGGCCAGCUAAGGAGGCUAUUCAUAUUUUAACUACUUACCUCUAACGAACUUGUCUGAAAAUCUACUGCGAAUAACCUAUCAAAAUAAAUACAACUUCCAACAAACGAUCUUCUGGCUCUCGUAUCGAUGAAGAACG